rnacentral:rRNA from 1 species
AGAAUCAACGCUGGCGGCGUGCCUAACACAUGCAAGUCGCACGAGAAAGGGGAGCAAUCCCUGAGUAAAGUGGCGCACGGGUGAGUAACACGUGAAUGAUCUACCUCCGAGUGGGGAAUAACUGAGAGAAAUCUUAGCUGAUACCGCAUAACACUUACGAGUCAAAGCAGCAAUGCGCUUGGAGAGGAGUUCGCGGCCGAUUAGCUAGUUGGCGGGGUAAUGGCCCACCAAGGCGAUGAUCGGUA